rnacentral:lncRNA from 1 species
GUAAGCUCCUAGCUGCUGGUUUGAAGUCACUUCCGACCUGGUUCUCGGCUCCCUCGGGGAUCCGGGUGCUCUGCAGAUCUUGUUUACCCGGUUCUAUUUCGCCUGCCAUCCUAAACUGCGGCUGUGUAAUCCAGCACGGAGAAGUCUUGCUGACACAGACUCAUCUAGAAUUCAGCUGUACCAACCUAUGAAUAAAGUACAAAGCAGCAGGAGAAUUCCUCAACGGUUCUUCUCACUUACUUCUAUUAUAACUGAAAGGGGAAGGACACGGAAGAGGAUGUGUCACAGAUUUUAUCACUCCAGCUGCUAAGCAAUAGUUUUCAUUUGUUCCAGAAAAACCUGAUUAGUUUAUCAGACAAGUCAGCUCUGAUGACUUCCUGCCAUCGUGGAAUGAAAUUUCACAGCACAUUGCCGAGUUUCGAUAGUCAUCUCUGUUCUCUGGUCUUACUGUGUGUGUCAUAUCACAUAAUUGUCAGGACCUAAGAUGUCUGUCCCUGUUAAGAAGCAUCAUGAAGAUGAAAACUGUAAUGAGGACAGCCCCACCAAC